CUACGGGAUGCUCCAGUGAGGAAUAUUGCACAAUGGGGGGAACCCUGAUGCAGCAACGCCACGUGGAGGAUGACGCAUUUCGGUGUGUAAACUCCUUUUAUAUGUCAAGAAAAUGACGGUAGCAUAUGAAUAAGCACCGGCUAACUCCGUGCCAGCAGCCGCGGUAAUACGGAGGGUGCAAGCGUUACUCGGAAUCACUGGGCGUAAAGGACGCGUAGGCGGGUUGGAAAGUCAGGUGUGAAAUCCUACAGCUUAACUGUAGAACUGCACUUGAAACUUCUAAUCUAGAGUAUGGGAGGGGGAGAUGGAAUUAGUGGUGUAGGGGUAAAAUCCGUAGAUAUCACUAGGAAUACCUAAAGCGAAGGCGAUCUCCCGGAACAUUACUGACGCUAAGGCGUGAAAGCGUGGGGAGCAAACAGGAUUAGAUACCCCGGUAGUC
rnacentral:rRNA from 1 species